UAUUGGCCUUUUCGAAGCUGGGACAAGGCUACAUUCUUGUUCCAGUCAAAAAAGAGCCUAGAAAAAGUUGUUCUCUACAAGGUCACGUAUUGCUAUUUUGGCAUUACGUAUCACCCAAGAGACGCACAGGU